rnacentral:rRNA from 1 species
CGUGCAGGUGGUCGGGUAAGUCAGAUGUGAAAGCCUUCUGCUUAACAGAAGAAGUGCAUUUGAAACUGCUCGGCUAGAGUACGGGAGAGGAGAGUGGAAUUCCCGGUGUAGAGGUGAAAUUCGUAGAUAUCGGGAGGAACACCAGUGGCGAAGGCGGCUCUCUGGUCCGAUACUGACGCUGAGACGCGAAAGCGUGGGAGCAAACAGGAUUAGAUACCCUGGUAGUCCACGCCGUAAACGAUGGGCACUAGGUGUAGGAGGUAUUGACCCCUUCUGUGCCGAAGCUAACGCAUUAAGUGCCCCGCCUGGGGAGUACGGCCGCAAGGGCUAAA